rnacentral:rRNA from 1 species
CGGGUGAGUAACGCGUGGAUAACCUGCCUCACACUGGGGGAUAACAGUUAGAAAUGACUGCUAAUACCGCAUGAGCGCACAGUACCGCAUGGUACGGUGUGAAAAACUCCGGUGGUGUGAGAUGGAUCCGCGUCUGAUUUGCCAGUUGGCGGGGUAACGGCCCACCAAAGCGACGAUCAGUAGCCGACCUGAGAGGGUGACCGGCCACAUUGGGACUGAGACACGGCCCAA